UUGUGCCUACUGCAAAUGUAGACAGAAUUUCGCGUUAAGUUGAUAGCGCACAGGACGAAUAUUCGAUAAAUAAUAAUCAGAAAACGGGAAGGGAACCAGAUCGGCUUGUUUCUUUUUAAAAAAGCCAAAACAACUGACCGUUCAAAGAUGCAUAACACCAAAACUCUUUCCAAGCCUAUGAAUUGUUUUUAUCGGCUCUAAGAGGGCUCCUUAUAACCAAUGCACGGACACUACCAGAAUGGCCGAGUUUCUGCAGCAAUAUCCCGAUUACUAUAAAAUUCGGCGCAUACUGUAAAUAUAAAGAAACGUUUGCUUCCCCUUUAAUACGAUUAUAAAUCACGAUACAUCGGCAACAGGCGAAUUCUUAGGUAAAUAUUAAAUGAAAUAACCCAUUUAACAGCAUAUCCCCCCCCCACUCCUGUAACUCAAAAUGGCGGCAAACAACCAUGCCCUGACCGAGAUGGUAAAUCUCGGCCCUACCACGGAAAGCACCAAGAGAAACCGAUGGAGACAGGAGCAAGCAGAUGGCCGUUUGACGAACUGACGGUCGACACUAGGCAGAGCGGGCCCCAUGAAGCGACAGCCGAAUCCAUAAACUAAAGAGGUUCGUACACUACACCUGGGCCGAACGGUCACACGAGCUUUUUUUUCCGCUAUCCCUCGACAACGGGUUUGCUUCUCCACCUGCGUUGCCGACGCCUCUUUUCUUUUAUCAAAAAAAAAACCGUUAGUUCUUUCAACUGGAAAGGAGACUAAACCGUUACUUAAUCAUCAACCGACCCUGGUCAUUUCAUUUCACGUCAGUUCAGUUCCUCACCUCGGCUUAAGAUGGCCGAUACAGCUCGCUGGAGCUUUCGCCCCCUCUCCGUUCCUUUGCGCCACGUCAAGGGGAUGAAGGAAGGAGACACACCCCUCAUUCCCAACCCCCCGCCCCUGACCACAGGAGCCGCAACCAACUAGUCACGUGACAAACGACCGCCGUUUUCGGAGAUGGUGGGGAGGAGCUGUUCACCAUGGAAACCCAAGGACGGCCAAUGUCACUCCGAUAGUCUUCGGAAAGAGCGUGUGAACGCCGUUAUCUUUUGGCUGAUUCUGCGGAGAGAAUCAGAGUUAAUUUUUCAGGUCAAUUGGCCCUUCCUCACAACUGAUGUUAACAAGAAAAAUAGAGAUAACAAGGUGUAGAGCUGGAUGAGCACAGCAGGCCAAGCAGCAUCGGAGGAGUAGGAAGGCUGACGUUUCGGGCUGAGGUUCGGAGAGAAGAGACAGAAGAACAGUUAGAAGAAAGAGUGGAUUACGAUCUGGCUAUGAGGGUGAAAAGCUGUGAAUAGUAACUGUUAGUAACGAACAAUAGGUAGCGUGCAAUGGCAGGCUGUGUGAUAACAAGGUCUUGUGUGUGGGGAUAAGUAAGGAUAUGGGAGAGCUUAGGUCCUAAAGUCAUUGAUCUCGAUAUUGAGUCUGGAGGGCUGCAGGAUCCCCAGGAGGAAAAUGAGAUGCUGUUUUUUUUGCCAUAUGAUCUAAUAUCCUAUGGCAUGCCUCAGUUGAAUCUGUCUCCAUCACAUUUCCAGGCAGUGGAAAUCCAAAAGGAUCCUUCUGCAGCUACGGGCAUCUAGUUCCCAAUCUAAUUCAACAUGAAAAUUAGCACUAGCCUCUGAAAGGACAAUCAAAAAGAAACUGGGCAAAGUUGAUGGAUAAUAAGGAAGGUUUUGAAACAUGGUGUCACUAAGAUAAUGUUACACUCCUUGUAAUAUGCCCAUCACCAUUGUUAAUAUUUAAAACAUUAUAACAAUAUUUGGUGAAGUCCAAGGUAUUCAAGCAUAGGCAACAUGGUUUUAUCGGAGGAAGUUAUGCUUAAUUAAUUUAUUGGAAAUUUUUGAAGUAAAAUUGUGCCAUAGGUAAAGGUGAAUCAGUGAAUUUAAAUUUAGAUUUCCAGAGGGCAUUUUAUAAGAUACCACAUCGAAGCUUAUUCUGGAAGAUAAGAGCUCGUGGUGUAAGGGAGAAUGCUUGCAAGGAUAGAAGGUUGGCUGGCUAACAGAAUGCCAGAGAGUAAAAACAAAUGGGUCUUUUCACGCCUCCAAGUCAUGUGCCACAGGGGUCUGUUUGGGGACCACAAUUCUUUAUGAUUUAUGUAAAUGAUUUGGAUAAAGGAAUUGAAGAUGUAAUAACUAAAUUUGCAGUUUCCACCAAGAUCAGUAGGAAAAUCAAUUGUGAAGUGGACAUAAGAGGUUGACACAGGGACUUAAAUAAGUUGUGAGUGAGCAAACAUCUGGCAAAUGGAAAUAGAGCCAUUGUACGGCAUGGAAACAGACCCUACAGUCCAACUCGUCCAUGCCGACCAGAUAUGCUAAAUUAAUUUAGUCCCAUUUGCCAGCAUUUGGCCCAUAUCCCUUUAAUCCUGUCCUGUUCUAUUACCCAUCCAGAUGUAUUUUAUAUGUUGUAAUUGUACCAGCCUCCACGACCUCCCCUGGCAGUUCAUUCCAGUCACACACCACCUUCUGUGUGAAAAAGUUGCCCGUUAGGUCCCUUUUAAAUCUUUCCCCUCUCACUUUGAACCUAGUUUUGAACUGCCCUACCUGGGUAAAAAACCUGUCCGUGCCCCUCAUGAUUUUAUAAGCUUCUCCUAGGUUACCCCUCAGCCUCCAACACCUCAGAGAAAAUAGGCCUAGACUAUUCAGCCUGUCCCUCUACUUCAAACCCUCCAAUCUCAGCAACAUCCUUGUAAAUCCUUUCUGCAUGCUUUCAAAUUUAACAACAUCUUGCCUUUAGCAGAGAGACCAGAACUGAAUGCAGUAUUCCAAAAGUGGCUUAAAUAAUGUCUUGUACAGCUACCCCAACUCCUGUACUCAAUGACAACAACAACUAUAUUCAAUGCAUUGACUAAAAAAAGCAAGUGUACCAAAUGGCUUCUUCACUGCCCCCGUCUACCUGUGACUCCACCUUCAAGGAACUAUGAAUCUGCACCCCAAGGUCUCUUUGUUUGGCAACACUCUCCAGUACUUUACCAUUAAGUGUAUAAUCCCACCCUGAUUUACCUUAGCACAAUGCAACACCUCACAUUUAACUAAAUUAAACUACAUCUGCCACUCGCCAGCACAUCUGUAUAAGGUCCCAUUGUACUCUGAGAUAGUCUUAUUCACUGCAUACUACACCAAUUUUAGUGUCAUCUGCAAAUUUACCAGCCAUUCCUCCUAGAUUCACAUCCAAAUAAUUUACAUAAAUGACAAAAAGCAGUGGUCCCCAACACUGAUCCUUGUGGCAUAUGGCUGGUCACAGGAUUUCAGUCUGAAAAACGACCCUCCACCAUCACCCUCUGCCACCAACCUUCAAACUUGUACAAUGUGGAAAAGUGUGAAGGUGGCUAAUUUGGCAGAAAGAAUAAAAAAAAUUUAAAGGUUGCACACCCUUGAGAUGCAGAAAGAUCUGUGUGUCCUAGUGCAUGAAUUGCAGAAGAUUAGUAUGCAGACACAACAAAUAAUCAAGAAAGCUAACAAUGUUAUGUUUUGUUACAAGAGGAAUUGAAGGCAGUAUAAUGCGGUUAAGUUUAUUUGUAUAUGAUAUUGAUGAGAUUGCAUCUGGAGUAAUAUGUAUACUACUGGCCACUGAAUGUAUAGAAGAUGUCAAUGCAUUGGAAGCACUUCAGAGAAGGUUUACUAGACUAUUAGCUGAAAUGCAUGGAUUCCCUUAAGAUGAAAGACUGGACAGGCUAGCCCUGUAAUCGCUGGAAUUUAGAAGAGUAAAAGGUGACUUAAUUGAAACAUAGAAGAUCCCAAAGUGAUUUGACCAGAUGCUGCCAGACCUACUGAGCUUUUCCAGCAACUUUUGUUUUUGUUCCAGAUUCCUAUUAAAUCAGUUUUGGAGACCUAGCUUUCAAGUGAAUGGAUUUUUUGCACCACCAUUGAACUUUCAGAAUCCCUACUGUGUGGAAACAGUCCAUUUGACCCAACAAGUCCACACCGACCCUCCGAACAGCAUCCUACACAGAACUGCCUCUGCACCCUUUCCCCUUAACCCUGCAAUUACAAUGGCUAACAAACCUAAUCUACUCAUCCCUGAACACUACAGGCAAUUUAGCAUGUCCAAUCCACCUAGCCCGCACAUCUUUGGACUGUGGGAGGAACCCAGGGCACCCAGAGGAAACCCAGGCAGACACGGGGAGAAUGUGCAAACUCCACACACACAGUCGCCGAAGGAUAGAAUUGAACCCUGGCAACUAAUGCUGUGAUACAGCAGAGGUAACCGCUGAGCCACUGUGCUGCCAAAUAUUUUGAACUGUUUUGCAAUCCAGCAACGUAAACAAUGAAGUAUCUGAACUUCUUACAGACUUUUAGAACUUAUUUUCUUUUAGGUCAAAGGAAAUAUCCAUAGUUUAGAGAGGAGCCUUCAGGGAUUUCAGUUUUACUUUCAAUGAGGGACUCUGUGAUGCUUCUUGAAUAGGAUGGCUGCACGGAUCUGUGACCCUGAGGAAGGAAGAAUACAUUGUGAACUAGAUUACCUCAGAGUGAGGGGCUGGUGUGAGUCUCAGACCAGAACAAACCCUGAAGUGGUUGCCCAAAGCUGUGUAUUAAAGUUCAAAUGUGUGAAAGCUCCAAAAAGAAGCUGUCUGCUGCUCCAGUGUAAACGCUGAAGCCACAAGUGACUUAAAUCUAUAGAGGUGUUUGAUAUAGGGACACUGGUGUGAAUAUUAUAUGAAUGGUGUUUUGGUACUGUAAAAGGACUUUUGUUUCAUUACAAUUUAUGAAGGAGUGUUUUCAGAUGAAUAAGAUUUUACUUCUAAGAGAUAAUGGGAACUGCAGAUGCUGGAGAAUCCAAGAUAACAAAGUGUGGAGCUGGAUGAACACAGCAGGCCAAGCAGCAUCUUAGGAGUACAAAAAACUGACGUUUCGGGCCUAGACCCUUAAUCAGAAAAGA